UGCACAUUUUACUUUCCAUGCUUUAAUCAUAGAAAAAGGUAACCAAUUAAAUAAAAUAAAUCCUUAGAUUGUAAAAAGAAACGAAAACACAAAAAUGAUUAAAUAAUUUCUUCCUCCUCGGGAUAUUUUUCCUUUGUACGAAUCAAGAGCUGUUUAUUGAUAUGAGGCAAUACACCACCGCCCGCAAUUGUAGCACGAAUUAAAGUGUCCAACUCCUCAUCACCUCGAAUAGCAAGUUGAAGAUGUCUAGGUGUGAUACGUUUGACCUUCAAAUCUUUUGCCGCGUUUCCCGCAAGUUCCAAGACUUCAGCGGUCAAAUAUUCAAGGACUGCAGCACUAUAUACAGCACUUUUUGCACCGACGCGCAUAUUAUUUUGAGUUUUUGCCUUUAAAAAGCGUCGAACACGUCCAACAGGAAAUUGUAAACCAGCGCGAGCUGAAUGCGACAUUUGACCGCGUUCGCCGAUUUUAGAACCUCCCUUACCUCCAACAUGUUUACCUUUACCGCCUCCAGACAUCAUUUUGAAUCGAUUAUUGCAAUUGCAAAAAGCGAAUGUUUUGUGUGUUAGGGAGAAGGCAGAUUCGUGAACGCGAGGUGCGUGUCUUAAUAUCAUAAAGCCGCGUACAGAGGGGCUGUACCUUUAAACAUCAAGUUUUCGAAUUUCUAACAACAGAGGAUAAAUUUAUAGAAUAUUGACAAAGGAUGAAACGUUUUUUUAAUG